rnacentral:rRNA from 1 species
UACGUAGGGGGCUAGCGUUGUCCGGAUUUAUUGGGCGUAAAGAGCGUGUAGGCGGCCAGGUAGGUCUGCUGUGAAAACUCGAGGCUCAACCUCGAGAUGUCGGCGGAAACCAUCUGGCUAGAGUCCGGAAGAGGAAAGUGGAAUUCCUGGUGUAGCGGUGAAAAUGCGCAGAUAUCAGGAAGAACACCCGUGGCGGAAGGCGGGCUUUCUGGGGACGGUACUGACGCUGGAG